rnacentral:rRNA from 1 species
GAUGAACGCUGGCGGCGUGCUUAACACAUGCAAGUCGAACGAUGAAGCCCAGCUUGCUGGGUGGAUUAGUGGCGAACGGGUGAGUAACACGUGAGUAACCUGCCCUUAACUCUGGGAUAAGCCUGGGAAACUGGGUCUAAUACCGGAUAGGAGCGUCCACCGCAUGGUGGGUGUUGGAAAGAUUUAUCGGUUUUGGAUGGACUCGCGGCCUAUCAGCUUGUUGGUGAGGUAUUGGCUCACCAAGGCGACGCCGGGUAGCCGGCCUGAGAGGGUGACCGGCCACACUGGGACUGAGACACGGCCCAGACUCCUACGGGAGGCAGCAGUGGGGAAUAUUGCACAAUGGGCGCAAGCCUGAUGCAGCGACGCCGCGUGAGGGAUGACGGCCUUCGGGUUGUAAACCUCUUUCAGUAGGGAAGAAGCGAAAGUGACGGUACCUGCAGAAGAAGCACCGGCUAACUACGUG